rnacentral:miRNA from 1 species
AGUGGCACAUGUUUGUUGUGAG